AUCCUUCAGUUCAUGAGCAUGAUGACUGGGUGUUCAUGCCACAUGCAUGAGAUGUGCCACCCUCCAGCCUUCUUAUAACUUUGGCACAUUACCCAUUUCAUG
ensembl:snoRNA